rnacentral:rRNA from 1 species
CACGUAGGGGGCAAGCGUUGUCCGGAUUUAUUGGGCGUAAAGAGCGUGUAGGCGGCCAGGUAGGUCCGGUGUGAAAACUCGAGGCUUAACCUCGAGAUGUCAUCGGAAACCAUCUGGCUAGAGUCCGGAAGAGGAGAGUGGAAUUCCUGGUGUAGCGGUGAAAUGCGCAGAUAUCAGGAAGAACACCAAUGGCGAAGGCAGCUCUCUGGGACGGUACUGACGCUGAGACGCGAAAGCGUGGGGAGCGAACAGG